AGUGAACGCUGGCGGUAGGCCUAACACAUGCAAGUCGAACGGCAGCACAGUAAGAGCUUGCUCUUACGGGUGGCGAGUGGCGGACGGGUGAGGAAUACAUCGGAAUCUACUUUUUCGUGGGGGAUAACGUAGGGAAACUUACGCUAAUACCGCAUACGACCUACGGGUGAAAGCAGGGGAUCUUCGGACCUUGCGCGAUUGAAUGAGCCGAUGUCGGAUUAGCUAGUUGGCGGGGUAAAGGCCCACCAAGGCGACGCUCCGGAGCUUGUCUGAGAGGAUGAUCAGCCACACUGGAACUGAGACACGGUCCAGACUCCUACGGGAGGCAGCAGUGGGGAAUAUUGGACAAUGGGCGCAAGCCUGAUCCAGCCAUACCGCGUGGGUGAAGAAGGCCUUCGGGUUGUAAAGCCCUUUUGUUGGGAAAGAAAAGCAGCAGGUUAAUACCCCGCUGUUCUGACGGUACCCAAAGAAUAAGCACCGGCUAACUUCGUG
rnacentral:rRNA from 1 species